rnacentral:lncRNA from 1 species
GUGUGGGUGCCGUGUUGGUCCAGGUUAACCAGGAUGGCGAUGAAGUACCCAUAGCAUUUAUGUCUCGCAAGCUUAACCAAUGCCAGAGAAACUACUCUGUCACAGAAAAAGAAUGUUUGGCAGCUAUUCUAGGCGUUAAGAAGUUUAGAGCUUAUGUCGAGGGUCAAGAAUUCUCUAUAAUUACGGACUAUGCUUCCCUAAAAUGGCUAAUGUCACAGUCAGACCUAAGCUCGCGGUUAGCUCGUUGGGCAUUAAAACUGCAAGGUUUUGAGUUUAAGAUAACACACCGUAAGGGUACCCAAAACGUUGUGCCGGACGCACUGUCCCGUACUCAUAAUGAUGAUUUAUCCGAAAUAAGUCUUGGCACGAUUGUGGAUCUGGAUUCGGAAUACUUCCGUUCAGUCGAGUAUAAUAAUCUGGCCGAUAAGAUAGAAGCGAACCAGUCCCACACGCCCGACAUUAAGGUAGUUGAUGGAUACAUUUACAGGCGAGCUGAGCAUACCACAGGAGACAAGAUUGCAGACGAUUUAUGUUGGAAAUUAUGGAUUCCAAAGGACAUGGUUCCGGAAAUUCUCAAAUCCGCUCAUGAAUCUCCCUUGUCUUCCCACGC